ACUGUGAGCGAAAAAGGACAAAAACAAUUAAGCUAACGUUACUCUCAUUUUUUCUUAGUGUAAAAGCCACAAAAAAAAAAAAAAGAAAGAAGCUAAUUUUACUCUCAUUUUUGCUUUCAUACUUGUUUUGAUUUGGGUGUCUUGCACUGACAUUACCUUGCAAAAGUAUUCAUACGCUUUCAUUUUUGUUGUUUACAUUUUCCCAUUUUACAGCCGCUGACUUUAUUGUUUUAUAUUGGAAUAGUCCAUGUGUUAUAUAUGUGACAAAAAAAAUGCCAGAAUGCUUUGAAACGAUCCUAUCAAUGAUUUGAAAAGUGUUGCAUACAUUUUAAUACUUUGUAGAAGCGCCUCUGUCUUAGACUGAAACUUUUGCCCACUCCUAGCGAAAUAGCCGAAGCUCAGUCAAACUGAUUGGACAGCAUCAGUGAUCGUUUUUCAAAUAUUUUCACAUGUUCUUUUUGAAUCCAUUAACAUGUUUUUAAUACGCAUGUAAACCCAUUCUGUUGUUCCUCUUUCUCAGCUAAAAAAUGUCUUUUGCUGCUUCUGACAGGAUUGUCCUCCAUUCAUCUCCUGGUCAACUCUGGCUAGUUCUCGUUCCCCUGCAUCAAGAUAACCAUCCCCACUUCACAACCACAAUUUAGCACUUUCAUGAUUGCUUGUCUAAGAGAGAGAGGUGCUGCCUCAGUGUGACAGCGCAGGGAGGGCUAAACAUCUAUGAAAAAGAUUUUGUCCAUUCCUCAUGUCGGCCUGGCUGGUGAUAAUAUCAACAUCCAUGGAGAACAAGACGUCUAAGGAGCAUCCUAUCGGUGUGGAGAAGCGGUGACUACUCUUGUCUCCAACGUGAUGAAGGAGAUCCUCACUACGUUUUAAGCGAUUGCCACAGCAGCCUUGCCCACAGCAACCUUUGCCCCCGGCCCUGAUAGCUGAGAAGCUCGGGCACAGCAUCUAUAAACCGCCACCUAGAGGCCAUCCGGUGACAGUAACUGUUGGAACCGCGUGGAGGCUUCAGCUGGUCCGACCACCACCAAGACCCCCAAGACUGUCAGCUGCAACUGCGGUGAUACAGGUCGUCCUCACCGUGGCUCGAGUGAUCUUCGGUCUUGUGUAUUUCCAGGACUGUCCUCAGCAGCCGAACAUCCCUAAAUAUCUUUUAGGGAUAGCUCUGUUCCCCCUGCUGGCUGUGCUUCUGACGAGAGAUGCUGCCCGACCACAAGAGCAUCCCAGUUGCCUCAACGCCUGUUUGCAGUGCUUUCUGUGCCUGUUUAUGUUUGCUUGGCUCCUAUUAGGUGCCGUGUGGGUUUUUGCCGUCUACCAGCCAAACUAUGACCCCUCCGCUGCUGAUGGCCUUUACUGUAAUAAAACGCUGUACACAUUUGCUUUCUGGAAUGCCAUAGUGGAGACUUUUGGGUUUGUCGUCAUCCUGGCUAAACUCUGCAAAGGACUGGUGUGUUAUGUGAACUUGAGUCCAGUGGACGCAGAUUUUUACAGGAAUGUCUGAGGUUCUGUAUGACUGCUUGCAAAGAAACUGUAAAAUGUUAUUGAUAUUUUAAAAAAGUCUAAAAUACGCUCAAGUAAAAAUGGCUGUAUAAGUUUGACAAAGAAAAGAACAUUCUUGCUUUUAGUCUUUUGUGAUUGUUAUAUUUAUCUAUUGAGUAAAGAACAGAAAACAUGACAAAAAUACUUUUUAAUUUUUUUAAGAAAACUGUAUUGCUGUCACAUGUCAUUCUCACAUGCUGCAUCCUGAUGUUUUAAAAUGUGGUUUCUGCAGCCAGAUGACAAACACAGAGUUGAUCUUGUUUCUCAUUAAAAAGAUCCUCCCUGUAUGUUUUUAGCAACCUGUAAUUUUAUAAUAUUUGUAACUGUCUGUUACGUCCGUACUCUACAUAUGCAGGUCAGUAGAACAAUAUCACCUUUGUGAUCUUGUGAAUAAUCAAUGCAAUCUUUAUUGAACAAUUGAAAUAUUAAGGGAGUCUGAUAAAUCUUGCUUAACGAAGGUUUUGACUUUCAGGGCCGCCCAUCCAUCCAUCUGUCUGUCAUUUUCUCUGCACCUGUUGAUUCCUAGUAAUUCAAAAAUCUGAGCCUUUUUUUGGGAUUGUGUUGGAUUUAGCUGAACAUUUUUCUAUUUUAAAUAAAAGCAAACAGUGGAUUAAAACUGAA